ACACUUGACGUCCAUGCUGGCGUAGCCCUCGAACUGCAGGGUGGUGUUGGGGAAGGAGGCCUGGCAGCCCAGCCUGUGGCCGUUGGCCUCCCUCGUGGGCACGAAGUGCAGCAGUGACACCUGCACCCAGGUGCCCUCGUCCUCCCGCAGCCGGCCCAGCACAGCGGGCUCCCCCAGCCCCUCGUGGCCCAGCCAGCUCAGCUCAGGGCGCAGCUCUGGGCAGUUGUCCGGCACCAUGCAGCUGACCUCCACCUCCGUGCCUGCCACCACCUCUGGGGGCACCACGAUGUUGGGGGUGUCUAUACGAGGCGGGGAAAGGGAGGGCUGAGAAAGCAGCACUGGGCUACGGUCCCGGUCCCACCCCACCCACCCUCCUCCUUGUCCACCUCCAUUGCUGGCAAUGGUACUCCUCAACGGUAUCGCCUCCGCUCCCUGCCUCCAGAUUCAGAAUUCCCUUUACCCUUCCUCCUCUUGGUCACCCCGGAGCCCUCCACGGAGCCACCAGAGCGCCAUCGUAAUGAAAAUCACAGUGUCGUGGCCAGAGCACUUGACGGCGUUUAACUUGCCAGUCCCUCCCGCAAAGCGAGAGGGUGAGGACUGUAAUUUUGCUCAUUUUGCAGAUGAAGAAACUGAGGCUGCAGCUGGCACCAGGUAACACUGGCUACAAACCCUGUGGCUCUGGCGUCAGCGUGGGCUCCCCACACCUCAUCACUUCCCAAGCGGCUCUCCUCUCCCAUGCCUGCUUGGUUUACCCUCCGCCGGGCAUGUGAGUGUGUGUGUGUGUAGGUAUGUGUGUGUGUGUGUGUGUGGUGUGGGUGUGUGGUGCAUGUGUGUAGUGUGAUGUGUGUGGUUUGUGUAGUAUGUGGUGUGUUUGUGAUGUAUGUGUGUAGUGUGUGGUUUUUGUGUAUGGUAUGUGUGCAGUGUGUGUUGUGUGUGUGAUGUGUGGUUUGUGUGGUGUGGGUGUAGAGCGUGGUGUAUGUGGUGUGUGGUCUGUGUCAUGUGUGGUGUGUGUGUGAUGUGUGGGUAGUACAUGUAUGUGUGCAGUGUGUGUGGGGUGUUGUGUAGUUUGGGUCGUGUGUGGUAUGUGGUUUGCGUAGUACGUGGUGUGUGUGGUGUGUGGUGUGUGUGUGGUGUGGUUUGUGUGGUGUGAGUGUAGUAUGUGGUGUGUAUGCGGUGUGUGGUUUGUAUCAUGUGUGGUGUGUGUGUGCUGUGUGUAGUGUGUGGUAUGUGUGUGGUGUGUGGGUAGUGCAUGUAUGUGUGCAGGGUGUGUAGGGUGUAGUGUGUGUGGUUUGUGUAGCAUGUAAUUUGUGUGUAGCGCAUGGUGUGUGUUUGGUGUAGAGGUAGUGUCUGCAGUGUGUGUUGUGUGGUUUCUGUAGUAUGUGGUGUGUGUGUGCAGUGUGUGGUGGGUAUAGUGUGUGGUUUGUGUGUGUGGUGUGUGCAUGGUGUCUGGUUUGUGUGGUGUGUGUUUGGUGUGUGGUGUGUAUUUGGUGUGUGGGUAGUGUGUAGGUAGAGUGUGUGGUGUGUGGCGUGUGGUUUGGGUACUGUGUGGUGUGUGUGCAGUGUGUGGUUUUUGUAGUGUGUGUUGUGCAUGUUUGUUGUGUGUGGAGUGUGUGGUUUGUGUUGUGAUGUGUGGGUAGUGCAUGUAUGUGUAGUGUGUAUAGGGUGUAGUGUGUGCGUGGUUUGUGCAGUGUGUAGUGUGUGUUUGAUGUGUGGGUAGCAUGUGCAGUGUGUGGUGUAUGUAUGUGGUGUGUGUAGUGUGUGGUGUGUGUAGUGUGUGGCAUGUGGGUAGUGUGUGCACUGUGUGUGUAGUUUAUGUGGUGUGUGGUGUGUGUGUGGUGCGUGGGUAGUAUGUGCAGUGUGUGGUGUGUGGUUUGUGUAGUGUGUGGUGUGUGUUUGGUGUGGUGUGUGUGUGUAGCAUGUGCAGUGUGUGAUGUGUGGUUUUUGUAGUGUGGUAUGUGUGUGUGGUGUGUGUUUGGUGUGUUGUGUGUGUGGUGUGUGGUUUGUGUAGCGUGUGUUGUGCAUGUUUGUUGUGUGUGGGGUGUGUGGUUUGUGUUGUGAUGUGGGGGUGGCGCAUGUAUGUGUACAGUGUAUAUAGGGUGUAGUGUGUGUGUGGUUUGUGCAGUGUGUAGUGUGUAGUGUGUGUUUGGUGUGUGGGUAGCAUGUGCAGUGUGUGGUGUAUGUGUGUGGUGUGUGUAGUGUGUGUAGUGUGUGUGGUGUGUGGGUAGUGUGUGCAGUGUGUGGUGUGUAGUUUAUGAGGUGUGUGGUGUGUGUGUGGUACGUGGGUAGUAUGUGCAGUGUGUGAUGUGUGGUUUAUGUAGUGUGUGGUGUGUGUGGUGUGUGUGGUGUGUGUUUGGUGUGGUGUGUGGGUAGUGUGUGUGUGGCAUGUGCAGUGUGUGGUGUGUAGUUUUUGUAGCGUGGUGGAUGUGUGGUGUGUGUUUGGUGUGGUGUUUGUGUGGUGUGUGUGUAGUGUGUGUGUAGCGUAUGCAGUGUGUGGUGUG
rnacentral:lncRNA from 1 species